UCAGGAUGAACGCUGGCGGCGUGCCUAAUACAUGCAAGUCGAGCGAAUGGAUUAAGAGCUUGCUCUUAUGAAGUUAGCGGCGGACGGGUGAGUAACACGUGGGUAACCUGCCCAUAAGACUGGGAUAACUCCGGGAAACCGGGGCUAAUACCGGAUAACAUUUUGAACCGCAUGGUUCGAAAUUGAAAGGCGGCUUCGGCUGUCACUUAUGGAUGGACCCGCGUCGCAUUAGCUAGUUGGUGAGGUAACGGCUCACCAAGGCAACGAUGCGUAGCCGACCUGAGAGGGUGAUCGGCCACACUGGGACUGAGACACGGCCCAGACUCCUACGGGAGGCAGCAGUAGGGAAUCUUCCGCAAUGGACGAAAGUCUGACGGAGCAACGCCGCGUGAGUGAUGAAGGCUUUCGGGUCGUAAAACUCUGUUGUUAGGGAAGAACAAGUGCUAGUUGAAUAAGCUGGCACCUUGACGGUACCUAACCAGAAAGCCACGGCUAACUACGUGCCAGCAGCCGCGGUAAUACGUAGGUGGCAAGCGUUAUCCGGAAUUAUUGGGCGUAAAGCGCGCGCAGGUGGUUUCUUAAGUCUGAUGUGAAAGCCCACGGCUCAACCGUGGAGGGUCAUUGGAAACUGGGAGACUUGAGUGCAGAAGAGGAAAGUGGAAUUCCAUGUGUAGCGGUGAAAUGCGUAGAGAUAUGGAGGAACACCAGUGGCGAAGGCGACUUUCUGGUCUGUAACUGACACUGAGGCGCGAAAGCGUGGGGAGCAAAC
rnacentral:rRNA from 1 species